GGAGCUGUGGCAUAGCUGGUAAAGCUGCCGCAUGUAGUGCCAGUAUCCCAGGUUCGAGUCCUGGCUGCUCCA
rfam:Oryctolagus cuniculus chromosome 3, whole genome shotgun sequence.